rnacentral:misc_RNA from 1 species
UGGCCGGGAAGUGGGAGUGGU